GAGAAACGGGAAGUACAGAAUGCUGUGAGAAUGCCUGGCCUACAUGAGCUGUCAUGAUGAAGCACGGGGCAGACAUGCCUCUUUUUCCAGAUGUAUCAGCAGACUCCACCGAUGAAUACAGAUGCCACAGCUAGCUUUACCAGGCAGUAUUUGGAAUGACCCCCUAAAUCCAGCCUCACUAUAUUACUUAGAGGGACACUUAAACCUCAAAGAAGAUUCAUCUAAGGAAAAUGGCUCAUGGGAUUUCAUUCCCCCUAAGGCUUCCAUGCCUUAUGUCAGUAAGUCAUCAAUAAUUAAACAGUAACAGUUAAAACAAGACCACCCAAGCAUACAGGCCCAAGGGUUGAGCUACAGAAAUGGUUUGCAUGGUCCUCUUAUUUAG
rnacentral:lncRNA from 1 species